rnacentral:rRNA from 1 species
AUUGAACGCUGGCGGCAGGCUUAACACAUGCAAGUCGAGCGGUAGAGAUUCUUCGGAAUCUUGAGAGCGGCGUACGGGUGCGGAACACGUGUGCAACCUGCCUUUAUCUGGGGGAUAGCCUUUCGAAAGGAAGAUUAAUACCCCAUAAUAUUUUAAGUGGCAUCAUUUAAAAUUGAAAACUCCGGUGGAUAGAGAUGGGCACGCGCAAGAUUAGAUAGUUGGUGAGGUAACGGCUCACCAAGUCAGUGAUCUUUAGGGGGCCUGAGAGGGUGAUCCCCCAGACUGGUACUGAGACACGGACCAGACUCCUACGGGGGGCAGCAGUGAGGAAUAUUGGACAAUGGGUGAGAGCCUGAUCCAGCCAUCCCGCGUGAAGGACGACGGCCCUAUGGGUUGUAAACUUCUUUUGUACAGGGAUAAACCUAUUCACGUGUAAGUAGCUGAAGGUACUGUACGAAUAAGCACCGGCUAACUCCGUGCCAGCCGCCGCAGUAA